GAACAGGAAGUGCUACAUCUGCGACAGUGCUCAGCACAUGGCGAAAGAGUGUCCCCAGAGGCUCCACAAGCACACUGCAGCCUCAGCAACAGUAACAGAAGCAACUCAGCAGAGAGAACCACAGCAGGGAAACGACAGAGUCUGGUUGGAGGAAGAGGCACUGGGGCCCAACCAGACAAGUCAAUGAAGCCGUCCCCAGAGAUUUUGCAGCCCACAGACCCCCUCCCGCCCAAACCAGUGGUGCAGCUCACAGCAUCGCUCCAACUACCCAAUGGACUCACUAUGGAAGUGCCGAUUACCAUUGACUCUGGUAGUAACGCAGACUUCAUAGGACUGGAUUUCCUUCAAGAGCACAACAUAGCACUCCUGCCAGCCACGCUGCCUCUGAAAGUUGUCACGGUGGAUGGCAGGGAAUUGCUGGGGGCAGGUGGUGCAGCAAACGCCUCCGAUGGUGAUGCAAAUUGGGAAUCACCGAGAAGUCAUCAGCUUCAAUGUCACCCAACUGUCGGACACGCCUAUAGUAUUAGGCAUGAGUUGGCUGCACAGGCACAGCCCAGCAUUGGCGUGGUACCAGCGACAACUGACCUUCGGCUCCUCAUACUGUGCGGAACAUUGCAUUCUGCCUAGCCCGGAAGGGGAAGAGGAUGACCCGCAGCUACAAUUAGGCACGCUGCAAGCAGUGCCACUCAAGUACGCAGCGUUUUUGGAGGUUUUCUGCGAGAAGGAAGCGGACAAGCUACCUCCCCACAGGUCUUAUGACUGCAAGAUUGACCUCCUGCCAGGGGCGACGCUGCCAACCGGGAAACUGUAUUCCAUGUCUGAAGACGAGCUGCAGGAACUCAGGGAGUUCAUAGACCUCAACUUGAAGCGCGGUUUCAUCCAGGAGUCGAAGGCAGUGGGGGGCAGUCCUGUAUUCUUUGUGAAGAAGAAGGACACGCCCCAAAAAAGGCUUGUGGUGGACUAUAGAAUUUUGAACUCGAAAACCAAGCCCACAGCCUUUCCCAUGCCCAAGAUAGAUGACCUGCUCGCAACGGUGAGGAAAGGACGCGUUUUCACAAAGUUGGAUCUGCGAGGGGCGUACAACCUGAUUCGCAUACGGGAGGGCGACGAAUGGAAGACUGCCAUGUUCACGCCCUGGGCACCUAUGAAUACAGAGUUAUGCCCUUUGGAUUACAAAAUGGCUCCCACUGUUUUCAAGCCUUCAUGCAUCACGUAUUGGCGGGUCUCCUCUACAAGAAAUGCGUCUGCUUCCUGGACGACAUCCUGAUAUUUUCAGAAUCAGAGGAGACCCACGAGGGAGACGUCAAGGAAGUUCUGCAGAGACUGCAGGAGCACAGGCUGUACGCCAAGCUGGAGAAGUGCCAGUUCGACAUGAAGGAGGUAGAUUUCCUGGGCUACAAGUUGUCGGACAAGGGGCUCGCCAUGGACAGCGCCAAGGUUCGCUCAGUGUUGGACUGGAAGAGCCCGCGCAAUCGGAAGGAGGUCCAGCGGUUUGUCGGUUUCGCCAACUUUUACCGCAAGUUCAUCAAGGGGUUCGCGAUGCAGACGGCGGCCAUUACCGACACGCUCAGCUCCAAGAAGAAGAAGUUCAUCUGGACGGAGCAAGCGGAGCAGUCCUUUCAGAAACUCAAGCCGUCUCUUCUCGUCCGAAGAGCAGCUACUGCAUGUGAAUCCCAGCAGACCGAUGAGGGUUGGAAACGGACGCCUCAGACAGAGCCGUGGGAGCAGUACUGUUGCAGCAAGACCCGCAUGGGGACUGGAGACCGUGUGCCUUCUACUCCAGGAAGCUCAGCAAGUCAGAGCAGAACUACACCAUCUGGGACAGGGAGUUGCUGGCCAUUCAUGCAGCAUUCAAGGCGUGGCGGCACUUCCUCAUUGGAGCCAAACACACAGUGCAGGUCCGCACGGACCAUAAAAACCUGGAGUACUGGCGCACGGCAAGGUUCCUGGAACCAGAGGCACAUACGAUGGGCGGAGUUCUUUGCGGAUUUCGACUUCAGGAUAGAGUACAUCCCAGGCGACAACAACAUCAUGGCGGAUGCACUGUCCAGAAAGCCGCAAUACCUCGAGGAGGCGGCACCAGCAGCGGCCAAGCACAUUUUCGCACCGAAAGCGUGGGCGUGCGCUUCAGCAACCGUGGACCUGGAUGCUGUACGUCGAGCACUGCAGGAGGACCCCUUCGCGCAAGCAAAGAUGGCAGAGGUGCAAAGGGGCACGGCGGAGGACGACGAGUUCCAGAUACGCGACGGAUUGCUCAUCCGCAGAGGGGCCCUCUACGUACCGGGAGACGACCUCCGCGCGAAAGUACUGCAGCAGUUGCACGACGCACCCACCGCCGGGCACUUUGGCAAAGAGAAGACGGUAGAAUUAGUAGCCAGAGAUUUUUGGUGGCCCAAGAUGCGGGGGGGAAGUCGCGGAUUACGUCUCGAGGUGCGACACCUGCCAAAGGGCCAAGUCAGUGCACAAACAGCCGGCGGGACUGCUCGAACCGCUGCAGACACCGCUCGAACCGUGGGAGAGGGUGGCCCUGGACUUUGUCACGGAUCUACCCAGCUCGAGGGGCAAGACGGCAGUGCUAGUGGUGGUGGACAUGUUCACCAAAAUGGCCCACUUCAUUCCGUGCGCGAAGGUGGCCACGGCGGAACAGACCGCCAAACUGUUCAUAGACCACGUGUUCAGGGUUCACGGUCUGCCACGGUCCAUCCUGUCCGACCGGGGCGACAGUUCAUCUCGAACUUCUGGCAGAAGCUGAUGGGUUUCCUGAACGUCAAGAUCAACCUAGCGUCGGCGAGACACCCGCAGACGAACGGACAAGCGGAGCGAGUCAACGCCAUCAUGCAGCAGUACCUGCGAUGCUACGCAAAUCAGCAGCCGGCAACAUGGGUGGACUACCUGCCGCUCGCUGAGUUCGCCUACAACAACACGAAGCACGUGUCCACGGGGGUGACACCGUUCUUCGCCAACAACGGGAGGCAUCCCAGAACCUUCCCGGGAUUAGCGAGAGCGGGGGAGGGGGAGCCACAGGCAGCGGAAGCCUUAGCAUCAGAGUUGCAGGAGGUUCACGAACAGCUUCGGAGGCAGUUAGAACUAGCAAAGCACGCAUACAAACUGCAGGCUGACAAGCACAGAAGGGUUGGGGAAGACAUACAGGUGGGAGACUGGGUUUGGUUAGCAGCCCAGGCAGUGCCGGCCAGAUCGUUAGCGAAGAAGAAGCUAGGGCAUAAGCAGCUAGGACCCUACCAAGUCGAGGCACAGGUCAAUCCAGUGGCCUUCCGGUUGACACUGCCGGAGGGAUCCAGAAUGCACCCAGUUUUCCAUAGAUCAGUGCUCACGCCCUACAAAGCACCUCAUAGAUUUCAGGAGCCAGGAACGGCACCAGACCCGUUCAGGGAAACGCCCACAAGGGGGGGGUCGCCAAGGCGGGAACCCGUCAACGAAGUCACAGAGAUUUUAGACUCGAGAUGGGGGGAGGAGGGAGUGGAAUACCUCCUCGCCAAGGAAGGUAACACGGCUAGCGCCAACAGUUGGGUGCCAGAUUAUGCUCUGGAGGAAUCUUGGCUUAAGGACGAGUUCCAUGCACUUUUCCCACACAGGCCCAUGCCAGCCGAGUAUUUCGACGACUGGCUUUUCACACCCACAUUUUCAGCUAGCACAUUCCAGGGGUUCACCUCGGACGAGGAACCGGCACUAGAAACACGUUCCCGGAGGGAUCACCCUCGGGUCUGCCUCAGACCGUUCCUAUUGGUGGGACAAUCAACCAGAGGAGCAGUGGCGCAGGAAGUGGUUGGGGGGUCCUUGGCAGGCAACGUCCCCGGAGGAGACCGGGGAGAGACGGACAUGGACGUGUUGGGGGAGGACCUUGGGUCGAGCACGGCGGCAAAGAGAUGGAAGCAGAGGAAAUUGAGGUCGGCGAGAGCACGGAGGACGAGCCGGACUUAUCCGGCUGGAUGCACGCCACGGGGGACGAACUGUAUCCGGCACUCACCCCCACAACGACGGAGCACCCAGUACCCACACCUGAAGGAGGGGUGGGGGGAUGGGGGGGCUUCGAGGGGGGGAUGGAUGUCAGGGGUUCAGGAGCAGAGGCACAGGAAAGGGAGGAAAUAGAGAGCGAGGGGGAGGAGUCCGAAGGAAAUGUUAGCGAUGACAGCGGUCCGAGGUCUCUGAGUCUUUCCAGCGAAUCGGAAGAUUCACAGAAAGGGGCUCCCUUGGUCAGAGCAAGGGGGUGCCGAGGGGGACACCCCAGGAAGAAGGGGCCAGAGGGGACUCAGAGAGCAGCAGUUGGAAAUCAGGACCAGCGUCCACACCAGAGUGCAGUAGGGGGGAGGAGUCCCAGGCAUCGGGAUCAGGCGGCGCACUGCCAGUGGGAGGACAUGAGUCAGGAUUGGCCACGCCUCCAUCGGGGAGCGAGGAAACGGUCGAGAGGAAGGUUGAAGGCUGGGCGCGCGCGCCAAGUUCAAAUGUACAGGAGGGCGGCGCAGUUGGCAGCCCGGAUAGGGAGCCAGGUCCCAAAGCCCGCCGAAAAGAGGGGGAGGAGUCAGGAGGGUCAGCGUCAGAAGAAUCCAGGAAGGAAGGGACCCCGGGGGGUAGCAGGACCCAGAGGAGAAAGGAGAGACGUAAGAGGUGGAGUAAGGCUAGAAUCUUAAACUGGUGUACAGGGGGCGGAGACUCAGAUGGAGCUUCGCCGAUCUAACCCCUAGACGUAGAGCUGGGGCGCUCCGGCUUGAAAAUGGAAACUGUACUUCAAUAAAGACUUUUGUACAUU